UGGUGACUAUAGCAAGGAGGUCACACCUGUUCCCAUGCCGAACACAGAAGUUAAGCUCCUUAGCGUCGAUGGUAGUCGAACUUACGU
rnacentral:rRNA from 3 species